AUUCAGCUGACGAGUCCCAAAUAGGACAAAACAUGUGUCCUGGAU
rfam:Schistosoma curassoni strain Dakar, Senegal genome assembly, scaffold: SCTD_scaffold0000572